CGCCGCUCCCGGGCUCAGGGCUCGCGCCUGUCUUUGUUAGUUUCCUGGCGGGGCGGGCCGAGGUCAGUGAGGCGCGCACGACCCGCGCGUCUGGCGGGGGUCCCUGCCUCCCACUGUUCGGUUGCUGGAGGGCGCCCCUGCUGGAGUCUGCAAAGGAAAGUUGGACGGAGUUGGUUUGCAAGAAGCGCUGCGGAGAGGAGAUGCGUCUGUAGGAGCACAGGGACAAACCGCGAUGCUGGGGGAAAUGGCUUAGGGUUCUCAACCCAAAGAGUCUUUGAAAUCCUCAUCCAGAAGUAAGAAGAAAGAAGUCGAGAAGAAGAGGAUGUGUAGCUCUUUAUAGGAACGGAGAAUGUUUCCAGAAUAAAGAUAAAUAUGAUUUCUUCCUAGAGAGAAAUAGAGAAGGACUUAGAAUUAAGACCUAACUCUUGAUACUUAAGAUCCUGGACAAACUCUCUAUGAAUCCCAGGAAAGCUCUCUGGUUCUCCUCCACCAAAAGAACAGAGCAGAGUUGUCCUGUGGAGAAUUAAAUUUCAUCAGGGCUCAGAGUCAUAUUUCAUGUUUGCAUUCUCAGUACCUAGUGGAACUGCCAAGAGCAGCCUUAACAGAGAACAAGCCUCCUGGCCAAGCCUCUUCUUUGGCAUAGAAACACUCUUUCUAAUUCCCUGCUGACCUCCUGGGUUCUCCAUGGUAGGCUGAUUUUUUAAAAAAGGGAGGGGGAGAUGGGGGGCAGAGGAUCUUUGCAUUUUUAAAACAUUUGUUCCAUACCUGGAAUCUGCUCAAACCAUUCAUUCAGGCAUUAAAGGGACUUUAGUUUUUAUUUGUUUAGCAAUUAACUGGCUGUUUGGGAAACAUUUCUUCAGGACCCAUGUUUAUAAUUUAAGACUGUUUUAAUUCCCAGGAAAAUCUUCGAAUGAUAUCUUUGUAAUUCUAGAAAGGAUAUAUGAAUAACCUCAGGAUGCGGGUCAGUAAAACAGUCAAGAACAUUCAUUGUUUAGAAUCCAGUUCUGUUUCUUAUCAUGGAGAAUGGAGAAAUGGAGUCAGAAACUUUAAAAAAAAAAAUUUAACCCAAAUUUUAAGACAUCCAUGAUCAAGGAUUAAGUGGACAUGCUGCCUUCAUGCACAAUAAACACAUCCAUUAUUAUGACUGUAUAUAUAUGAGGUGACCCUCAACAGUGCCUGUGUUAAUGCAGUAAUGUUGAGAGGUGAAAUGAUUGGAUUCUAAGAUGUGUAACCUAAUCAGUCCAUCCUAGUUUGAAUGAAGAGAUGCGUCACUAGGGGUAUGCCCUGGGAGGGGAGUUCCCAGUGGUUCCUUACCUUUUCCUUCCCUCUUCCUUUUUCUCUGCUUUUUGAUUACCAUGAAUGAGGUGAGCAGCUACUCUCAACUGAAUCCCUGACCCAUGCCAUUUGGCCUCACUUUGGGCCCAGAGCAAUGGAGUGGGCUGACCAUGGCUUGAAUCUCUGAUAUUGUGAAUUUGAACAAACUUUUCUUCCUAUAAGCAUUCUUAUCAGUGAUUUGGGUCACAUUGACACAAAGCUGACUAAAACACCUAUCCUGAUAGAUGGAAACAAUACAAAAAAAAAAAAGACCCUGAAAAAUAAAAAAUUUAGCAUAUGGAAAAGGUCACUACACAAAGUCAUGAGUUAUUGACCCUUCUUUAAAUUAUAGGAAGCAAAUUGAGCAUGAAGAUAUGAACCAGUCUUUUUUAUCCAAAACUUCUAGAAAUUACCAUGGUCUCUUCAUCUCUAGAGACUAUGAUAAAAAUGGUAUAAAGAUAAUACCUCCAUCUUUUUGCCAAAUUAUAUAUGUUAACCAAAUAUACUUUAAUCAUGAUUUUAUGUUUUUAUUUAGGAAGUACCAUACAGCAACUAGGAUAUACUGGGUUCCAGAACCAGGUGCAGAUCUAAGUGCUUUUUGUAUAUAUUGAUUUAUUUAAUCCUCACAAGAGCCCCUUGAGAUAGGUGCUGUGCAUAUCCCCAGGGAUGGGAUGUGAAAACCAGAGCAGAGAGUCCUUAUACUACCAAAUGGAGGAAUGAAAGUGCAAGGGCAGGCAAGUGGAUUCCACAUUUACCACACUGCUUCAGAAACAGAGGACACAGGGAGUGUAACAAACUGCUCCCUCAGAGUUCAUAAUAAUUUGCAUUCAUCUAAUCUCCAGACUUAGUAUCACCCAUGUGCUAUGACUUUAGGAGACCCUGUAUCUCUCCCAGCUCACUCUCUCCCAAGAGAUCCAGAUUAGAGCUUAUUUUCUGUGUAAUUUAAGAAGUUGAAACUGCAUUUGUUUUAAAUGCAUUUUAGUAUACAAAGAUAACACAAUACUAGUAACAAGUCUAGAAAUUGUGCAAAGCUACCUUUAUUUUUUGCUGCAGUAUGUUAUUCUUCUAAAUUGAACAAAAUCUUGAGUAAAAAUCGCCCCCUGUAUUUCUUCCCUUUUUCCAUCCUUCCCUCCAGUAGCUCCUAUGCAUGUUGUCUCUCAAUUGCUCAUGAUGUGAAGGGCAUGCUAACUAGGUGUGCAAAGGUAAAUGAUAUCACUCUCUGCCCUUCCCUCAAGAGCUUGCAGGUGGGAAGGCAGAGCAGGGGAACAAAUAAAGUAGCACCUCCUCUAAAGGAGUUUGGUACCCAGUGCUGUCCUUGAGUUUUCUUCCUAUGAGGGUUAGGGAGGAUUUAAAAGAGGAAUUGUCUAUCUCCUGAGGAGAGGAGAAGAGAAGAAAGUAGGAAAUUACAGAGCAAUGAAAAAAAGUGGGACUUGGAGAGAAGAUUGGAAAACCCAGUUGAAGAGGAAAUAAAAAUCCAAGUAGAGUAGCAAAUCAGAUUUUUACUCAAGAUUGUCUAUGCCACUUCCUGGAUCUAGAAUCUUAGAGAUGUUGCUUUGAUUCCCUGUGACUAUUUUUCCCAUGUGUAAAGCGGGCACUAUGAUGUGACUUGCCCAGUUGGACUGAGCUUCCACAUGUACUCUUCAUCCUCCUUCUGGUAGAGCUGGCCUCCUGGCCUCCUGUGGGUCUCAGCCUCAUUCUCAUCCCAAGGUGACUGGCACUGUCAUGCCAUCUGAAGGAGCACCCUAGCCACUCAUAUUUAACCACUGAAAGAUGAAUGAAAUAUAUAUAUAUAUAUAUAUAUAUAUAUAUUAGAAUAAUACUAGUAAGACUUUGCCCUCAUGAAUGGAUUAAUGCCAUUAUCCACUGUCUUAUGAAUGGAUUAGUUAUAAAAGGAGAGAUUUACUCCUCUUAGUAGCCACUCCUUCUCCAUUCUUCCUUGCCCUUUGCCAGAGCAUAAAGGCCCUCAGCAGAUGUGACCCCUCCAUCAUGGACUUUUCAGCCUCUAGAACCACAAUCCAAACAAGCUUUUAUUGUUCAUAACUUUCCCAGUUUGUAUCUAUUAUAGCAGCACACAAUGCACUAAAACAAACAUAUUUAUAGCCACAAAUAAUAUAUGGUAUGUAUUCAACAUAUAUAAAUAUACCCAUGCAUACUUAAUGCCA